CCUACGGGAGACAGCAGUGGGGAAUAUUGCACAAUGGGGGAAACCCUGAUGCAGCGACGCCGCGUGAGUGAAGAAGUAUUUCGGUACGUAAAGCUCUAUCAGCAGGGAAGAAAAUGACGGUACCUGACUAAGAAGCCCCGGCUAACUACGUGCCAGCAGCCGCGGUAAUACGUAGGGGGCAAGCGUUAUCCGGAUGUACUGGGUGUAAAGGGAGCGUAGACGGCAGCGCAAGUCUGGAGUGAAAUCCCAUGGCUUAACCAUGGAACUGCUUUGGAAACUGUGCAGCUAGAGUGCAGGAGAGGUAAGCGGAAUUCCUAGUGUAGCGGUGAAAUGCGUAGAUAUUAGGAGGAACACCAGUGGCGAAGGCGGCUUACUGGACUGUAACUGACGUUGAGGCUCGAAAGCGUGGGGAGCAAACAGGAUUAGAUACCCCUGUAGUC
rnacentral:rRNA from 1 species